AUGAACGCUGACAGAAUGCUUAACACAUGCAAGUCGAUGGGGAAGUGGUGCUUGCACCAUGGCAACCAUGGCGGACGGGUGAGUAACGCGUAAGGGACUUACCUGCAGGACUGGGAUAACAGGGGGAAACUCCUGACAAGACCGGAUAAUGUCAUGGAGCUGCAUGGCUUUAUGAUGAAAGGAGACGCCUGCGGAGAGCCUUGCGUCCUAUUAGCUAGUUGGUGAGGUAAUGGCUCACCAAGGCGAAGAUAGGUAGCCGGCCUGAGAGGGUGGACGGCCACAAGGGGACUGAGAUACGGCCCUUACUCCUACGGGAGGCAGCAGUGGGGAAUAUUGGACAAUGGGGGCAACCCUGAUCCAGCAAUUCUGUGUGCACGAAGAAGGUUUUCGGAUUGUAAAGUGCUUUCAGCAGGGAAGAAGUAAGUGACGGUACCUGCAGAAGAAGCGACGGCUAACUACGUG
rnacentral:rRNA from 1 species